rnacentral:rRNA from 1 species
CUUAGCGGCGGACGGGUGAGUAACACGUGGGUAACCUACCCCAAGGAGGGGGAUAACAGGUCGAAAGGCCUGCUAAUACCGCAUAAAGCUUAUGUAUCGCAUGAUGCAUAAGCCAAAGGAGGAAUCCGCCUUGGGAUGGGCCCGCGGCCCAUUAGCUAGUUGGUGAGGUAACGGCUCACCAAGGCGACGAUGGGUAGCCGGCCUGAGAGGGUGGUCGGCCACACUGGGACUGAGACACGGCCCAGACUCCUACGGGAGGCAGCAGUGGGGAAUAUUGCGCAAUGGGGGAAACCCUGACGCAGCGACGCCGCGUGAGCGAAGAAGGCCUUCGGGUUGUAAAGCUCUGUCUUCCCUGACGAAGAAAAUGACGGUAAGGGAGGAGGAAGCCACGGCUAACUACGUGCCAGCAGCCGCGGUAAUACGUAGGUGGCGAGCGUUGUCCGGAAUUACUGGGCGUAAAGGGUGCGUAGGCGGCUCCUUAAGUGAGGUGUGAAAUCCCUGGGCUCAACCCAGGAACUGCACUUCAAACUGGGGAGCUAGAGUGCAGGAGAGGAAAGCGGAAUUCCCGGUGUAGCGGUGAAAUGCGUAGAGAUCGGGAGGAACACCAGUGGCGAAGGCGGCUUUCUGGACUGUAACUGACGCUGAGGCACGAAAGCGUGGGGGAGCAAACAGGAUUAGAUACCCUGGUAGUCCACGCUGUAAACGAUGAGUGCUA